rnacentral:lncRNA from 1 species
GGUGGAGGGGACCAUUCCUGGCUUCUGUUGUGGCGUCUUUUCUAUUUGACUUCAUGGUUGUAAGUAUUUCCAGAUGGUGAAUCAGACACCAGACGUAACAAUAUUUCCAUAUUUGGGUAUAGCAGUAGCCUGCGUUUUUAACAUUUUUCUGCCUCUGUUAUCCAACCACAAAGCAUUCUUGACAGCUUCAAAUGUUGUUAAAUAUAGACUUAACUUCUGUUCCCAGAGCAGGAAAUUCUUUGGAAUUCCUUGUUUUUCACGCAAUCUGUCUAUCAUAAUUGAAAAUAAAAUCGCAGUGGAUGAUCCAACUGGCUCCUGUAUGCACCUUGCUCCUUUAUUGAAGUUCGGGGCGCUGGGGGGGGGGUGCUCGAAGAGAUUCAGUCUGCCGCACAGCAUUCAAACACAACCAUUCCAGAGAUUUCUUUGAAAAUCAGAUUAAAGUUCUAACAAGUGUGCGUGGAUCCGUUCUGGGGACUCCACCUGGGGACUCCUGGAGAGAUGCUUUGCCCCAGAGGAGAAGUUACAGUACCUCACCCGCAGCUGCCCUUUACAGCAGGGGUGUGCUGUGCUGUGCUGUGCGAGGGGGUGGGAAGUGGGACCAAACAGGGCCAGGAGGUGGGGGAGCGGGAGAGACGGGCGAAACCUAUGCGCGCAGCCUUCCAUAUCCUAGGUCCCGGCGCGCCGGCUGGGAGACGGCAGCAUCAGGCUAGAGGCACCGCCGCUCCUCGCCCUGCUGGGGCCAGAAACCCCAGCCAUGCCGUCGCCUUCUGGCCUCCUCCGCUGAGAGCGGCAGAUCGGGUCCCGCUGACAGAUCGGAGGGCAAAAGUGCAAACGUCGCGGCUCCUGGCGUUGGGCUGAGCGACGGGAACGUCUCUUGCCGCUGCUGCCAGGGAAUUUUGGGUCACCAAAAGAAGGGCUCACUGUCUGGCGGGAACUGAGAAUAAUCAUCACCCUAAAUCUGGCCACUCCGGUUUCCUCGUCCUGGGCCAGGGCUUCUCCAACUUGGGCCCGCAUCAGAACCACCGGGAGGGCUGGGUGAAGGACCGACCGCCCCCCCCCGCCCCCCGCGGCCUCACUCCACGAUUUCUUGCGAGUUGCUUUUCCAAGAAGCCCCGAGGUGAUGCUGAGGCUGCUGGGGCCCGGGAGCCCCCCCUGAGAACCGCUGCCUUGAACGGCGCGCCUGCCCUUCCCUGCGUUUGUCCCCAGAGCCAGGUCCUCGGCGCCCUCUUUUCACAGUCGCCUUGAGGGACAGAAGGAGUUACCGUGACCGCGAAAGGCCGUCCGGGGUCUCCCCAGCCCACCCCGAGCGACCGCAGGGACAGCCAGAGGGCGGGGCGGCGGGGAAGGCCGAGGCUGGCGCCCGCGACCCCCGCGGGGACGGCGACCCGGGUCCG